rnacentral:rRNA from 1 species
GCAAGUCGAGCGAUGGGGCUCCUUCGGGAGUACAUCAGCGGCGAACGGGUGAGUAACACGUGGGUGACUUGCCCCGAAGAUGGGGAUAACCUCUGGAAACGGGGGCUAAUACCCAAUGUGCUCGGUGAUUCGGUUCAUCGAGUAAAGCUCCGGCGCUUCGGGAGAGGCCUGCGGCCCAUCAGCUAGUUGGUAGGGUAACGGCCUACCAAGGCAGAGACGGGUAGGGGGCGUGAGAGCGCGGACCCCCACACUGGCACUGAGAUACGGGCCAGACUCCUACGGGAGGCAGCAGUAAGGGAUAUUGCGCAAUAGACGAAAGUCAGACGCAGCGACGCCGCGUGGGCGAUGAAGGCCUUCGGGUUGUAAAGCCCUUUUAUGGGGGAAGAGAAAAAGGACGGUACCCCAGGAAUAAGUCCCGGCUAACUACGUGCCGGCAGCCGCGGUAAAACGUAGGGGACAAGCGUUAUCCGGAUUCACUGGGCGUAAAGAGCGUUGAGGCGGUUCCGUAAGUUGGGCGUGAAAGCUCCGGGCUUAACUCGGAGAUGUCGUUCAAUACUGCGGGGCUUGAGGACAGCAGAGGAAGGUGGAAUUCCCGGUGUAGUGGUGAAAUGCGUAGAUAUCGGGAGGAACACCCGUGGCGAAGGCGGCCUUCUGGGCUGUUCCUGACGCUGAAGGCGAAAGCUAGGGGAGCGAACGGGAUUAGAUACCCCGGUAGUCCUAGCUGUAAACGAUGGAUGCUGGGUGUGGGGGGUGUAAAUUCCCUCUGUGCCGAAGCAAACGCGUUAAGCAUCCCGCCUGGGGACUACGUCCGCAAGGCUAAAACUCAAACGAAUUGACGGGGGCCCGCACAAGCAGCGGAGCGUGUGGUUUAAUUCGAUGCUACACGAAGAACCUUACCUGGGUUUGACAUGCACGUGGUAGGGAACCGAAAGGGGACCGACCUUCGGGAGCGUGCACAGGUGCUGCAUGGCUGUCGUCAGCUCGUGCCGUGAGGUGUCGGGUUAAGUCCCGUAACGAGCGGCAACCCUUGCCCUUAGUUACAAGUGUCUAAGGGGACUGCC